rnacentral:rRNA from 1 species
GUCAAGUAAUUAAGCGCACACGGUGGAUGCCUUGGCGAUAACAGGCGAUGAAGGACGUGGUAGCCUACGAUAAUCUUCGGUUAGCCGGCAAACAGGUUAUGACCCGGAGGUCUCCGAAUGGGGAAACCCACCUCGUAAGAGGUAUCUAUAUCUGAAUCUAUAGGGUAUAGAAGCGAACCUAGGGAACUGAAACAUCUAAGUACCUAGAGGAAAAGAAAUCAA